rnacentral:lncRNA from 10 species
UGCAAAAUUAAAUUACAUCUUUAGGGAUGCACACAUAUGGAACACUACAGUUAAAAUUAAAAAGAAAAGGAAAUUAGCACCACAAAAGCCCAGGUAGUGGAUGGCAUAAAGAAUUGUUCAGGAGAGUACAGGGAGACCUUCUGAAAUGCCGGGAACGUCUAUGUGUGGAGUGAGUGAAGGUGACACAGAUGCUUCCUCAUAAUCAUUUAUGAAAAAAACCCACAUAUUAAGUUUGUACACUCUUCUUAAGUAUGCAUUAUUCAAAACGAAAAAGGAAACACAGGAAAUGGAGUACAUAACAUACACUAGCAAUAGAUAAGUAUUUUUUUAAAGAAGCGUUACGAUUAUUCUCAUUGAUAGAACAUCAAUUAGGAAGAACAGAAGAAUGCCUGAAAUUAUUUUCAUGCUUAUAAUUUUUUGAAAACAAUUAAUAUGUGACAGAAAAAAGAGAUGAAAAUUAUAUAUAAUAGCUGUUGGAUACCUUC